rnacentral:sRNA from 1 species
GGCCAGUGAGGAUGAGAACCUCCGGGGGCAGGAGGUUCGACUCGAGCGAAGCGAGAGAACGUUUCGUCAGCAACGGCCCGCAGGGCGAGCCACGAAGUGGUGAGUCAUCCUCUAUCACCGACCA